UUUUCUCUAGCUCAGUGGGUACAGAGCAUGAGACUCUUAAUCCCGGGGCCGUGGAUUCAAGACCCACAACAGAAG
rnacentral:tRNA from 1 species